CAGGUGAUGAUCGAGAGAGAGACAGAAUGAAAACAGCUGGUUCUAUGUGUCCGGUACGGACAAGAAACCUAGGCCGCCUCGCUUUAUCGUGUUUGCGAUCUCACUCUUUUCGUGCGUUCGUACCUCUGACGCUCCAUCUGAAACACGCGGCGCGAUAUUCUACUUGUAUUUUCUGCUCCACAGGAUUCUCGACAACACAGUCCAGCGUAUUUGCGAAGGCUUGAAGCGACGAUCUUUUCUAUAAUUAUCAAAAUUUUCGAAAACUCUUUCUUUUUCUGAUAAGGCAUCAGAAUCAUCUGAACUUGGACUACUGGAUAAAGAAGAUGAAGAUGUGAAAGAUGACGAUCUACUUGAACUAGACGGAGAGAUCUUAUUAGAUGCACUUUCAGGCUUUUGUUCCAUUACAGGUGCUAUUGUUGGCUUUGGAAGAGAUUUCAAAUGUUCUCUUAAAUCAUUUGUGAGUCCACCCAAACCAAUUGAUGUAAAAAAGUUGAUAGCAAAUCGAGUAUUUUUUGGUUCAUCUCUGGGAAAUAAUCCUUCAAAAGCUUCCUGUAAUGUAACAUCUUUAAUGCGUUGAUUAAGUUUAGAUAGUCCUAUAUAUUCUGAAAGUUCUUGAAAUAAAAUUUUGAUAAAUAUUCUAUUAGAACUUGUAGUAUCAUCCUCUGUUAAUUUUAUACAAGACAGUACCUCCCAUGAAAUAGAGUCAGUGAAUAAUAAAUGAGCGAAGAACUUUGAUACAUUGCGUAACUUAUUUGUAUCUAAACGAUGUAUCGUGUGAUAUGAAUCUUGAAAAAUUUGUUCUAAUAUAGUGACAUGAAUUUUGUUAAUGGCACAAAAUCGACCUGCUAAUAGACCAAAAAAUUUUUCAUAUGUUCUCAUCUCUGCACAACAAUCUAAGAACAUAUGACAGAGCUCUGUUUCCUGUCCAGGUUUCAGUUGCAUUUUCAUCAAUUUAUGAGCACAUUCUUCAAAGUCAAGAGAUGAAUGAAUUGUCAAAUAUAUUGUUCUUCUAAGGGCUGUUAAA